rnacentral:rRNA from 1 species
AAGGGAGCGUAGGCGGCUGAUUAAGUCAGCGGUGAAAGGUAGCAGCUUAACUGUUUUACAUGCCGUUGAUACUGGUUAGCUUGAGUUGACAGAGGGCAGAUAGAAUUCCUGGUGUAGCGGUGAAAUGCUUAGAUACCAGGAGGAAUACCGAUUGCGAAGGCAGUCUGCUGCAGUCACACUGACGCUGAGGCUCGAAGGUGCGGGGAUCAAACAGGAUUAGAUACCCCAGU